GUGCUCGCUUCAGCAGCACAUAUACUAAAAUUGGAACGAUACAAAGAAGAUUAGCACGGCCCCAGCACACGGAUGACAUGCAAAUUCCUGAAACAGUUCUAUAUUUUU